UGGGACUUACUACCACAAUGUUACUCAAUGCUGAGAAAUUUCCUGUCUUAGUCCCAAAUUCAUUGUUUUCUAGUCAGGUAAUUGUGAAUAAAUCCCGUGCCCAAUGGCGUGCUAUGACCACUAAACUUCCUGUGAAAAUUGAUGAUUUGGAAAAGAUACCUCAGAUAUCAAAGGACAUAGAAAGCAUGCUAAAGUUGAACCCAAAAGUUUUCUUGGAAAAGGAGGCCCCAUACUGUUUCUUGUCUAGAGUAGAAAGCUCUUUUGCAGAAUUGACUAUUGGAUGCAAUCUUAGACACAUGAGCAAAAAUGAACUGUACUCCACGGAACAAGACAUUCUUUUGCAGUCAGUCCGGAUACUAAAGGAACAUGGUGCUAGAUUGGGUAGUACCUGGCAGGAUAUAACCUCUCAGUGAUUUUGCAGAUAAAUGAGAUUCUUUAUGCUGGAGUUUGGACACUUGCCUCCCUAUAGUUGCUGCAACUUCAUGGAGCUUUGCAAAGGCAUGAAUUGAAAAUCAUUAUAAUGUAAAGGUAGACUUGAGGCUAGCUGAAGUAGACAGAAUUUAGGUGUUAUAACUCAUC
rnacentral:misc_RNA from 1 species